GGAGAGGUGGCUGAGCCCGGUUGAAGGCGGCGGACUUGAAAUCCGUUAGGGCGGCAAGCCCUCGUGGGUUCGAAUCCCACCCUCUCCGCCA
rnacentral:tRNA from 1 species